UUCCUACGGGAGGCAGCAGUGGGGGAUAUUGCACAAUGGGGGGAACCCUGAUGCAGCGACGCCGCGUGAGCGAAGAAGUACCUCGGUAUGUAAAGCUCUAUCAGCAGGGAAGAAAAUGACGGUACCUGACUAAGAAGCCCCGGCUAACUACGUGCCAGCAGCCGCGGUAAUACGUAGGGGGCAAGCGUUAUCCGGAUUUACUGGGUGUAAAGGGAGCGUAGACGGCAGCACAAGUCUGGAGUGAAAUCCC
rnacentral:rRNA from 1 species